CCUACGGGUGGCAGCAGUAGGGGAUCUUCCACAAUGGGCGAAAGCCUGAUGGAGCAACGCCGCGUGGGUGAAGAAGGUCUUCGGAUCGUAAAACCCUGUUGUUAGAGAAGAAAGUGCGGGAGAGUAACUGUUAACGUUUCGACGGUAUCUAACCAGAAAGCCACGGCUAACGACGUGCCAGCAGCCUCGGUAAUACGUAGGUGGCAAGCGUUAGCCGGAGUUAGUGGGCGUAAAGGGAACGCAGGCGGUCUUUUAAGUCUGAUGUGAAAGCCUUGGGCUUAACCGGAGUAGUGCAUUGGAAACUGUGAGACUUGAGUGAAGAAGAGGAGAGUGGAACUCCAGGUGUAGCGGUGAAAUGCGUAGAUAUAUGGAAGAACACCAGUGGCGAAAGCGGCUCUCUGGUCUGUAACUGACGCUGAGGUUCGAAAGCGUGGGUAGCAAACAGGAUUAGAUACCCGAGUAGUC
rnacentral:rRNA from 1 species